rnacentral:rRNA from 1 species
GUGAGGAAUUUUCCGCAAUGGGCGAAAGCCUGACGGAGCAAUGCCGCGUGAAGGAUGAAGGCCUAUGGGUUGUAAACUUCUUUUCUUAGAGAAGAAUAUUGACGGUAUCUGAGGAAUAAGCAUCGGCUAACUCCGUGCCAGCAGCCGCGGUAAUACGGAGGGGGCUAGCGUUGUUCGGAAUUACUGGGCGUAAAGCGCACGUAGGCGGAUCAGAAAGUCAGAGGUGAAAUCCCAGGGCUCAACCUUGGAACUGCCUUUGAAACUCCUGAUCUUGAGGUCGAGAGAGGUGAGUGGAAUUCCGAGUGUAGAGGUGAAAUUCGUAGAUAUUCGGAGGAACACCAGUGGCGAAGGCGGCUCACUGGCUCGAUACUGACGCUGAGGUGCGAAAGCGUGGGGAGCAAACAGGAUUAGAAACCCCUGUAGUCC